rnacentral:rRNA from 1 species
AGACGAGCGUUAUCCGGAUUUACUGGGCGUAAAGCGCGUGCAGGCGGCAUGGCAAGUUGGAUGUGAAAGUUCCCGGCUUAACUGGGAGAGGUCGUUCAAUACUGCCAGGCUUGAGAGUGGUAGAGGGAAGCGGAAUUCCGGGUGUAGUGGUGAAAUGCGUAGAUAUCCGGAGGAACACCAGUGGCGAAAGCGGCUUCCUGGCCCAUUCUGACACUCAGACGCGAAAGCUAGGGUAGC